UUCCGAGUUUAUUGAACUACAGAAAUCUGUUUAGAAUUAUCCUAAUGAAUAAUGCAACAAGGACGAAGCAUGUAAACAGCGUUGUUUGUUUAUUCAGAGCAGCAGGCCCGGUGUAAU